rnacentral:lncRNA from 1 species
UUGGCUUUGCCAAUAUAUGACUUCCUCUAUGCAGUAAGCUCUGAGGAGCAUUUACGUUUUAUUUUGUGAUGACAAUUUAAAUUCGUAAAUUUGUGUAAUAUAUAACUCUGUGGAGCGAGUGUAUAUUAACUUGGAUGGUUCAGUGUAUCAGUAAGUACUUGUUUUAAGGGAAAGAUGUUCCAGGUAUUUGUAUUGAUGACUGAACAUUCACGCAUGUAUAAUUAUGGGAUUAUAUAUAUCGAUUUUUAUUGUUGUUAAAAAUCAGGGGCGUGACAGAAACAUUUAAGGUAACAAUUGGUUGCUCUAUGGGCCAACUUUGUUAAGGGGUUUCCAUGAGAUAUGAGGCCUAUGUAGCUUUUGGUUAGGUUGGAUUCUUGGGAAUGCUAUUGUUUAGGUUCAGAUCUUUGACCUAGAGGGAUUUCACAAACUUCUGCAGUGUUUUUUUUUUUGUCUCCAUUGGUUCAGUAAUACUCUUUGUGCACUUAUACUCUCCACUGGUUCAUGACCUAAACUUCUGCACUAAUACUUUUUGUGCUAAAAUCUCAAUACUUCGUUGAUCUAUGCUUCAAUUUUGUGUUAUGGUAUAA